GACGGACGCUGGCGGCGUGCUUAACACAUGCAAGUCGAACGAUGACGACCGAGCUUGCUCGGUCUGAUUAGUGGCGAACGGGUGAGUAACACGUGGGCAACCUGCCCUUCACUCUGGGAUAACCUCGGGAAAUCGGGGCUAAUACCGGAUAUGAGCUCCUGUCGCAUGGCGGGCGUUGGAAGGUUUUUCGGUGAAGGAUGGGCUCGCGGCAUGUCAGUUUGUUGGUGAGGUAGUGGCUCAACAAGGCGAUGACGGGUAGCCGGCCUGAGAGGGCGACCGGCCACACUGGGACUGAGAUACGGCCCAGACUCCUACGGGAGGCAGCAGUGGGGAAGAUUGCACAAGGGGCGAAAGCCUGAUGCAGCGACGCCGCGUGGGGGAUGACGGCCUUCGGGUUGUAAACCUCUUUCAGCAGGGAAGAAGCGAAAGUGACGGUACCUGCAGAAGAAGCGCCGGCUAACUACGUG
rnacentral:rRNA from 1 species